rnacentral:rRNA from 1 species
GUUGAACGCUGGCGGCAUGCCUUACACAUGCAAGUCGAACGGCAGCGGACCUUCGGGUGCCGGCGAGUGGCGAACGGGUGAGUAAUAUAUCGGAACGUACCUUUCAGUGGGGGAUAACGUAGCGAAAGUUACGCUAAUACCGCAUAUUCUGUGAGCAGGAAAGCAGGGGAUCGCAAGACCUUGCGCUGAUUGAGCGGCCGAUAUCAGAUUAGCUAGUUGGUGAGGUAAAGGCCCACCAAGGCGACGAUCUGUAGCGGGUCUGAGAGGAUGAUCCGCCACACUGGGACUGAGACACGGCCCAGACUCCUACGGGAGGCAGCAGUGGGGAAUUUUGGACAAUGGGCGCAAGCCUGAUCCAGCCAUGCCGCGUGCGGGACGAAGGCCUCGGUU